UCCCUGGUGAUCCAGUGGUUAGGACUCAACACUUUCACUGCUAUGGUCCAGGUUUCAUUGCUGGUCAGGGAA
rnacentral:tRNA from 1 species